rnacentral:lncRNA from 1 species
GCGGGCCCUCUGGGCGGGACCUUCGGGAAUCUCCCGCUGCAACCGGAGCCUUCUGGAUUCAUUUGCGCCUCCCCUCCCUCUUACCACUUCGUUCCAGCUUCUCAUCCUGAGCUACAGACAUUUUAAAUCUAGAUCGGAAGAGCAAGGCGUUAACCAAGGCCAAAUGGUUGAGCCAACAAUUCAUCCCUUCAGCAAGCGUUUAUCGAGCACUUACUGUGUAGCAAGCCCUGUGCCAGGUCUUGGGCAGGAGGUGGAGAAGGCUUCCAUCUAUUUUCAGCAGGUGUUGGAAAACCAACAUAUAUUGAUAGCCACCGGCUCAAGGCAAUUUAGUAAAGUCCUAUCACAGGACCAUUGAGGCCUCUACUUGUGACUGGAGACAAACGGAGUUAUGUUUUCACAUGCCAUAGCUGGCUCACAGGCAAGGUCCAUGAAGUAUGCUGCUGGGAUUUCAGUUGGGAUUGCAUUGAAUCUAUAUAGCAGUUUUGGAAGUAUGGCCAUUUUCACUAUGUUGAUCCUUCCUACCCAGGAGCAAGGCUGCAGGCUGCUGGGACCCAUGAACAUAAGGAGUGAGGAGGAGGCAAGGAGAGGCAACUUGGAGGAUGUGUUCCCAGAUCUCUG